ACUUUUAUGCGCUAUUUAACCUUCUCUUGGAUCAAUUAAGUCGGCAAGUAGGCAAGUGCCGGAAGAAGGAAAAAAAAGAGGGAAAGAGAGAGAGAGAGAGAGAGAGAGAGAGACGGAGUACAUCGAAUGACGCAAUACACAAUACACAAUCUACAAUCGCACGAGAAUGAAUCCUACAUUUACUCUCGAUGAUGAAUGUCGCGUUGACAGCGCAUCGAUGGUCAUUGCACGUUAAGGAAGAUCGGAUGCUGCGUAGCUUUCAACCAAUUUUGAUCCUCGCUUGAGAAAUACUCGGGAAAUGAAAACUUUCUUCCUGAUCAGCGAGUGUAUCUGAUAACGAGAAUGAAACAUACCGAUAAAAUAUAAUACGCGAUCGUGCGUAUGUCAUUGAGCGCGUACGCGCCAAAUUGUUUCGCUCAAAAUUCCAUUCGACGAGUGAAGUAAAACGGUGGCUUGCAUAUAUUAAAAUAUAAAUAUUAACAAAAAAAAGAUUCUCGAUAUGAUAAUAAUGGAUAAUAAUAAGGCUAAUUAGAAUUAGCACUGUAAACAAUGCACAAUUAUAUGUUUAAGUUUAACUAUGUUUAUUAAGAUUAAAAGAUGCAAA